rnacentral:lncRNA from 1 species
UUGGUUCUAUGAUUUAUUUCAAGGCUUUUGGUGGUGUUGGAUGGCUUUCUAACACCUUGAAAAUGAGUUUACACCCAUUAUUGAGGGGUUCACGGCCCAAGAACAUACCUUGGCCGUAAACUCAUAUAAAUCCCUCAAAAUUCAUGUUUAAAGUGUUCUAAGUCCAAUACCAAUAUUCUAAAAGUCAUAUCUAGGUCUAGUUUGAGUCAUGGAAGGGUUUAAGGGCUUAAAACCCCUUUAAAUAUGGGUUUACGGCCUAAGCACCUUCCUGGGCGGUAAACUCAUAUACAAGCCUCUAAAUCAUGAAUUAAUCUCGAAUUUGAAGGUCCAGUAUGAUGCAAAAUGAGUAUAGGAAGGUACCUUGAAGAUUUGAGACCUUAAACUUGAGAUUUGGACCUUUAAUUCUAGUUCGAGGAGAGAGGUUCGAGUGAAAGUUGUAGAAUGAAGCAAAAGCUUCAAAGUGAAGACUUGGAUCACUUCAAAUAGUGUCCAAGUUCGGGACACGGUAGAAUUCUACCCGAUACCAGCGCUAGACGGGGCUUUUGGCCGCACCUGGCCAAUUUGCCGUAACCUGAUAUGGUUGAUUCUAGAAAUGUUCAGAUCAUUAAUACGAGGCGUUAGAAUGAGUUCUAAGGGUAUUAAGACACUCAUUAAGUCAUAAAAUAAAUCAUUCAAUAAUGACUUAAUAAAAUGCCGAAAUCGGAAACGAAAUCGGAAACGGCGAUUGGAUGAUCAAAACGAGUCGCGAAAAGGGUUACAAUUAAGGAUAUGAAUUUCGGGUUGUUACAUUAUCCCCCCGUUAGAGGGAAUUUCGUCCCGAAAUUCAAAGAUUCGAACACAGAUCACGAAGUGAAAAGAGAUAUAAGGAUGAAUCUACUGCUUCGGGUCUUCAAGCUCCUAAGUGGAAUCGUGUCUCCGCUUGAAAUUCCAGCGGACCCUCACUAUCAGGACGUGGCUUUGUUACGCAUGGUUAACCUCUCAAUCCAUGAUCUCAAUUGAUUCAAACACUAUGGUUCAGAUUUUCAUUGGUUUUGACCUCAUCAAAGGGUGACUAAGGUUUUCGUCAGGUUAACACUUCUCACAAACAACGAUGUGGAAUACCGGAUGCUCGCUGCGGAGUUUCCUGAAGAUAGCUCAGAGAGGGCUAUGUAAUAGAUUCCUAACGAGGAUAUCGAAGAGUCUAAGGUUCCACAAGUUAAGUUUUUCCACACUUCCCAAGGGGUACUAUAUCUUUCCAGGGUAAAACCUUCAACAAGUGGGUACAUUUUCACAUGGCAGAGUAACUAAGGGUCCGAUGGUUCUAAGGGAAACUUCUACAUGAGUCUACAAUUAUAGCCGGCGGAACCCAAGAAUCGACAGGUUUCCAUGGGUGUUCCCGGUGUCGACUAAUUCUUUAUUGUCUUUGCUUUUUGGAGGGGUUUACGAGUAUGACUGCUUUGCUUAUCUAUGGACCAAGAAAAUGGUUCGACCGAAGGCCGCCACUUCUACCUCGUAGUGAUCGUAUCAAGCCCUGAUUGCUGACUUGCACACAUCGUGCUCACUGAGGUUUGGCUACGAGGAAAUUCCUGGGAUUAGGUCGAUGCAAGACUAGACUAUGCAUUCGGAAAGAAUUUUCAUGAAUUCUUUGGAAACAGUAUCGGGGAAAGAAUCGUAGACUUCUCGUUUCUCGAUGAUCACUCAGACGAGAGAUACAGGGGAAGACUUUUUAAGCUUUGAUGCAUGAAGAUCAUGAGAGUCGUGUCGGAGGGAAGUUAGAACGAACGUCUUUCUCGAAACUAAGAAAGACAGCAUGAAUGAGGCUCAGUCAUUUCAUGCUAAAGGUGACAUCAAAGCAUUUCAUAAAAAGUUUGCUAAUAGAUUGAAUGGAAAUGAAUAAUUGUUCGAAUUGAGGAUACAAUCUACGGAUAUGACACAAGCGUUCUCGUUCUCACAUGAUAACCAUCUCGAAGGUAUACAUUUUCGGUUACUCGCAAACGACGGGGUUAGAAGGUGUUCCAAUGGAUGGUUAACAAAUUGCUUUCGGUGCAAGAAUCGAAAAGAAUCACAGACAUAUAAAUUUAACAAGGGAAAUAUACCUGUGGCAACGGUGGGAUCGGUGGCUGUCUCCUCUUGUCCUAUCGCUAGAACUCUUCCGGUGUUGCCAGGUGUUACAGCCUUGCGACAGUUUCGCUUAAGAUGUCCAACUUCUCCACAACCAUAGCAGGCCCAACCAAUGCCCGCUCCGGAAGUUUGACUCGUUGAUUGGGUUGGUGUCUUACAGUUUUUCUCCAUGUGACCCUUUAUGCCACAUUUGUUGCAAAUUACCUCUAUACAUGGACCGGAAGGAAGCUGAUGAUAGUUGCACUUGCCACAACUAGGAAGGGUUCCAGCAUACCUAUUAGCAGGUUUUCAGGUUGAGGAUCCAUCAACAGAAACAGUUGCAGGGGAAGUGACAACGUGAACUGCCACCGUUUGCUAUCUCUUCGAAGACUCGUGCGAUGCCUGACUAUUCUCUUUCUUCCCAAGUUUUCUUUUCUCACCACUCCUCACUGUCGGCUCAGGAGUGGUAGCUGCCUCCUCAAGGUCUUCGCUAUGAUCAAUUAGGAUCUGUGCUAAGCGUUUGGCGCUGUCGUAUGUAUCCGGCCUCGCGGCUAAGACGUUUCCUUUCGUUGGCUGGGUCAGUCCCCAGAUGAAUCUCUCUAUCUUCUUACUCUCCGGGGUAACCAUUCCUGGGCAGAGUAGUGCCAAGUCGUCGAACCUGGAAGUAUAAGCAGUGAUGUCGGAACCUUUCAUCUUCAGGUUCCAAAGUUCAUGUUCUAACUUCUGCAUUUCGCCCCGAUGGCAGUACUCAGCCAGCAAAAGUUCCUUCAUGGCUUCCCAACCCAUGGCGUUGGCUACAGGUAAGGUUAGGGAUUUGACUCGGCCGUUCCACCAAGUCAAGGCCUUGUCGAUAAAGGUGCAUGCGACAAACUUUAACUUGUCUGAAUCUGAACAAACACAAAUUUCAAAGAUGGAUUCGAUCUUCUCGAACCAUCGAGUGAGGGAAAUGACACCUCCAGUGCCAUCAAAGGAUGUGGGUUUGGCGUUCAUGAAAUCCUUAUAGGAACCUUCUUUCCGGCGUCCCUGACUGUUUUCUUGGUUUUGGGUUUGGGUACCACCUCCCGAACCACCAGAACUGUCAGAGUUCCGUUGAGACAUGGCAGCUGCUACCGCGGCUGUAACAGCUGCCUGGGAUACUACUGGACCAAUUUGGGGAGGCGGUGGUGGCGGAGGGUUGUUGGUCUUGGAGUUGGGUCUCUUUCUUGGAGGCAUCUUGAUCUAAUAAGAUCAAGGAAGAGAGGAUGAUAAGUCCUCUGAAUUGAAUCAAGAGAUAUGACAGAUAUAUGCUAACAAGCGAUAAAGUAGGAAAGAGUUAUCAAAGCGGAAAAAUUAUCGCUAAGGGAAUGAUCAAAGAACAAUGCAUGAACAAGGAUUUCUACCAAGGAUUGGCUCGAGAAAUACUCCCAUAGUAUUUCGUGAUUCGUUAUGACGUUGGUUCGAUGUUUGUGGUAUUAGGGUAAGUUUUAGGCAUGCCGCUUACCACAGUCAUUCCCAAGCACAUGUUGGCCGUGUCUCGAAUGAAUAUAGUUGGCCAUGCUAUAUUGAUCCUAGACACGACUACAUAACUGCCCAGGUUUAACCGCAGCAUACAACAUCCAUUUACUUAUGUUCUGUUCUACUUGUAGUUACAGAUCUCAACGGGUCGGUAUACUUAUAUACUUUUGAAAAUACUUAUAUUUUGAAGGAUACUUUUAGUUUAGAGCACUUAGGCCCCUUAAUGUUUAUAGUUUUAUACCAUGUAAGGUUUGGCAUACUUCAUUCACUAUAAACAAGGGCUCUGAUACCAAUCUGUCACACCCCGAAAACCGAAGGCGGAAACAUUUCUGGGGUUGACUCCACGUGAAUAUNCUCCACGUUGAGUAUCAAAUCCAAUGUGCAUAGUAAGUAAAGUAAAUCAACCAUUACAUUACAUAUAUGAAAGUUUUACAUUCGUUUCAAAAGCAUAAGUUAUACAAGUGAUACAUAUCAUAUAUAAACAACACGAAACGAGUCUUCUACGCACUUCUUCUUCACCAAAAGAGAUCGCCGGGUACCUGUCUAAUGUGAACCUGAGAAUACAAGCGGUUUAAAAAUCAGCAUAAAGCUAGUGAGUUCAUAAGCGGUUAGUUUUUCUGAAAAUGUACGAGUUCCUUUGUUUUCCUGAAAAAGUGAUUAUCCAAGAAAAUCCCAUAUUUUCUUAUGUAAAGUUAGUUUCCAAAUCCGAAAGUAAAGUAAACGAUGUACAAUGAAAAACAUGAUUCUUUAUUGUGAAUUGUAAUGUUUAGUUAUCUAACUCGUUAAACUUUUCUAGUUACAUACUACUGUUACUCAGGAAAAUCCUAUAUUUUCCUACAAGUGUGAGUGUGAACUAUUACUGGUUCUGUAUGAGCUAACUGAUACUGAUUCCGAUUAUGUUCAUUAUUAUCCAUAGGAAAACCCCAUGUUUUCAUGAAUGAGUGUAUGUCUGUGCCUGUCAUCCUUGAACGUACAUUAGCUUUACUACGUACAUAAAGCUAGUAAAUGAGUCUAAAGCGUUAAUAAUCUAGAUUGCGAGUCCUUAACCAUAAUCAGACUAGAUAUGACUCGAGUCAUGGCCAGUAUCCUUUUUAUGACUUUCGUCACCCUUGAACCUUUCGGUUCGGCUGUAGCUAGCAGCCAGGUGUGGGAUUGUCAGUCCCGUAUAGAUCUAUACACUCAAGCCACGCUCUCCUACAUUCGGAGAUUCUGGUUACAUGGGUAGUCCUCCACUCUCGUGCCACGGGACGUGUUACCAAGGACGUGUCUCCAAUCUUUAAGAUUACUCAUCACUUCUCGCCUAGAGAAGUAGUAUCUACGACUAACUAAGUUCUAACGUGCCUGUCCUUUACACUCGAGCCUAGGUAAUUUAUUAAGGACAUUACACUCGAGCCUAUGUGUUAUCUAAUGAUGACUGUCCUUUACACUCGAGCCAAGGUGUUUUGUUAAGGACAUUACAGUUGAUUUGUGUAUUAUGAUGAUAUUUAUCUAUCACACUCGAGCCUAGGUGUAUUGUUAAGGACAUACAGAUGUUUUAUGUUUUCUGAUGGUGUCUGUCUUUUACACUCGAACCUUAGUGUUUUAUUACAGACAUUACAAUGGUUUAUGUGUUCUAUCAGUUUAAAUGUGAACAAUCAAAUAUAAAGUAUACAAUACAUCAAUGUAUAAUAAGAAUUGAAAAUCGGGUUAAAACAAAUAACUCUGCAAGUUAAAACAGUUUGUUAAAAGGUUUUCAAUUCUUAAAAAUGUACAAUUAUGAAACCAUUUAACUGAAAUCAUGUGUUUAAGUACAAGAUAUUCUUGUACUUUUGCUUGUAUUCCCCCCUGAAAACAUUGAAAAACCAUUGAAAAAGGGUAGGGGUAUGAACUCACCGGUUGAGAAACGUGACGUUCCGGAUGCUAAGUGUCGAUUCAAGGCCUGAUAACACACGAGGUUCCUAUGUAAAAUGAAAUGGCAUACAAAUAUAUCUAAUUAGAUUCAUAAACUCUAAUUAGAUAUGAAGUCACACUCCAACGAACGAAAACACCUCAAAAUGGGUGUUUGGAGUGACCCGGGUGGUAUCUACGGACGGGAAAUGAAGCGAGGGACUUGGGAUUUGAGUUUACUCCCCAAGAGUAAACUUCCUAAUGAAGUUUGAGGCCAUAUACCCCUAUAUACAUGAGUUCAAGGCCGUGAACUCAUGUUUGGGUGGUUUUGAGUGCUAAAAUGGCUUAAAUGGACAAGGGAAUGUUGGAAUGGAUUUUUCUAAUGCCAAGGAUUUAAUUGAAUCAACAUAUACAUCACAUUUGAGAGUUCACGGCUGUAAACUUGGAGUUUACGGCCGUAAACUCUCCCAUGCUGAAACCAUAUUUAAUUUGUGAUGCUUAGGACAAUCACAUGUGAUUCUAGUUAAUUUUCCAAGCCUUGGUAAGAAUUUAGGGCUUCAAAUGACAUAUAAUUAGGAGUUUACGGCCUUGGAGCAUGUUCUAUGGCCGUAAACUCUCAAAUGAAGAGUUUUGUUAUGUUUAAGGUCCCUAAACUAUUUUUGGUUGGUUCUAUGAUUUAUUUCAAGGCUUUUGGUGGUGUUGGAUGGCUUUCUAACACCUUGAAAAUGAGUUUACACCCAUUAUUGAGGGGUUCACGGCCCAAGAACAUACCUUGGCCGUAAACUCAUAUAAAUCCCUCAAAAUUCAUGUUUAAAGUGUUCUAAGUCCAAUACCAAUAUUCUAAAAGUCAUAUCUAGGUCUAGUUUGAGUCAUGGAAGGGUUUAAGGGCUUAAAACCCCUUUAAAUAUGGGUUUACGGCCUAAGCACCUUCCUGGGCCAUAAACUCAUAUACAAGCCUCUAAAUCAUGAAUUAAUCUUGAAUUUGAAGGUCCAAUAUGAUGCAAAAU